UUUGAGAAUAGGUCCCAUUCUGCCAUGUACUGUACAAACAUGGAAUAAAGAGACAGUUCCACCCUCAAAGAGUUUACUAUAAUCUAAAUCUACUCCCAUCCCCUGAAAGUAUAUUGAAAUGAUACCAUCUGAUAGUUACACCUUAAAGAACACAUACCUAUCUUCCAAGUUAAAUUAUGGACACACGACAGAGUAAUCUUCAGAAACAGAGUUAAGGUUGUUUGUGGAAAAUAGCUAUGCAUUUUUCAUUCUUUCUAACUUUUAUUUUUAAUAACUGCAAUGUCCUGAAAAUUCGAUUCCUUUAAAGUAUCCACUGCAUAUUCACAAUAGCAAUUACUAAUUGGCUUUUAUUUCUUCAUCUAGGAAUAGCAGUGACUGCCAACAGUGGAACAUGGGGGAUGCAAAUAACCAUUAUGAUAUGACAAUAGUGUGAUCAUUGACCACCAAUCCUGUGCAGAUCACAGAGCAUCUUAUGAAAGGCAAGGCAGGAAGUAACCCUAAGAUUGGAAAUAACCUAACUGUUGCUCAUCUCAUUUCAAGGGGCGGGGUGCUGUCUGGAGAAAGAGAAUGCAAAUGGUUAGCGCUAUGGAUAGGAGGAAGAAGACUUCUCACACCCUCAGAGAUUGAAGGCUACUAGGUUUGGAAAGGAGCACUGAAACCGCCCACCAGCACAAAACCAAAAUUAAAGAGGACAGAACUCCUUCCUCCCACCACAAGUUACCGAGCCAACAGCCAAGGGAGUGAAGACAUGUCCCAAGCAUGAUGUCUGAAUACAGGAACAAAGCAACAGACAAUCAGGACCAGGAUGUCUGGCCUCCUUUCUGCCGCUCCCCUUUACUCUUGCUCAGAAGAUUCCUCAAUAUGAAGACCAGCAUGUCCUGACAGAAGAAGUAACCUUCUUAGCAUGGAC